UACGUACGUAAGUAAAUACGUACGUUUUUAUGAAGGCCAAUUAAAAUCGUCUCAAAUCAAAUAUAUAUUUUCAUUUCUCAUGCUCUGAAAGUGUUGUUCUAUGAAGUGUGCAGAAAGUUAUACGUUUCUGCACCAGUGCAUUUUACAUUCCAAGUACGUUAUUUUUACGAUAAGCAAUAAAAAUAUGGUUUUCAAUGGAUUUGUUGGACAAUUUCCAUUCCGGCAUUUAACUCCCCAUUCCAUAAAUAACGAUACUUUUAUCUAAAGUGUUAGUUGAAAGUACCCUUAAGAAGUACUAUGUAAGGUCAUACUUAGUUGUGUUUUGAUUAAUACUCACACAUGUAAUUUACUUUCCUCAUAUUGGAAAUGAAAAAUAGACUGAUAACUAGGGUGAAAUUGUUAAACACUCAGUCUCGGAUUAUUGACGCUCUCAAUGCGUGACAUAGGUUUUAAUGUUUCUGUUUAUUCUAGAGUAUUAUAAUCAUACCCGAACGUACCGAAGUGGCCCACGUCAACGAGAAAUACUUAUAUAAUGUGUCUGCACGCGUCAUAAGGUACGGUAGAAAAAGUGAUUACCUCUACAACCUCGAGGCAGGGAUCAAGCAUACUUGGGGAAAUAAUAUCACGAUUCAUUUCGUUUUCUUCGAAGCCCUAAACAACCAAUACAAACGGAGUCUAUUGGAGCUAAAGCUGAAGUUUUGCGACCUAUUCCAACGAGAUCAAUACCUCGGAAAGAUGUUUAGCGCAGUUUUAGACAAAUAUGGAAUAUCCUGCCCUUUUGCGCCGGGAAUGUACCGCUUCUUGAACACGACUCUGCCCGGAGAGAAGAUUCCCAACUUUCUACCGUUCCGGAAGGGCAAAGUCGAGAUCACGUUCAACCAAUUGCAGACGCAAGAUUUAGUUGGAAGGCUUGUUAUCAUAU